rnacentral:rRNA from 1 species
GGAGGGGGUUAGCGUGGUUCGGAAUUACUGGGCGUAAAGCGCGCGUAGGCGGAUUAGAAAGUUGGGGGUGAAAUCCCGGGGCUCAACCUCGGAACUGCCUCCAAAACUGCUAGUCUAUAGUUCGAGAGAGGUGAGUGGAAUUCCGAGUGUAGAGGUGAAAUUCGUAGAUAUUCGGAGGAACACCAGUGGUCGAAGGCGGCUCACUGGCUCGAUACUGACGCUGAGGUGCGAAAGUGUGGGGAGCAAACAGGAUUAGAUACCCUGGUAGUCCACACCGUAAACGAUGAAUGCCAGUCGUCGGGUAGUAUACUAUUCGGUGACACACCUACACGCAUUAAGCAUUCCCCCUGGGGAGUNCGGUCNCAAGAUUANAACUCNAAGGAAUUGACGGGGGCCCGCACAAUCGGUGGANCAUGUGGUUUAAUNCCAAACAACGCCCAUAACCUACNACCCCUUGACNNCNUGUGUNUACUUCCNGAAAANGAUNGUUCCCUUCCGGGAACCNAUUGACCGGUNCUNCCUUGCCUGUCUCCCC